rnacentral:rRNA from 1 species
CGUCUAUAUACGUAUAGCAUAUCAAUAAGCGGAGGAAAAGAAACUAACUAGGAUUCCCUUAGUAACGGCGAGUGAAGCGGGAAGAGCUCAAAUUUGAAAUCUUCAAGGUUCUACCUUGACGAAUUGUAGUUUAAAGAAGUGUUUUCUGUUGGAGUUUUGGUAAAAGUUCUUUGGAAUAGGACAUCAUAGAGGGUGAGAAUCCCGUAUUUGACCAUUAUUUCCAACUUUGUGAUACACUUUCAAAGAGUCGGAUUGUUUGGGAAUGCAGUCCAAAAUGGGUGGUAAAUUUCAUCUAAAGCUAAAUACUGGCGAGAGACCGAUAGCGAACAAGUACCGUGAGGGAAAGAUGAAAAGAACUUUGAAAAGAGAGUUAAACAGUACGUGAAAUUGUCAAAAGGGAAGCGUUUGACACCAGUGUUGUUUUCUCGGAAAUCAAUUAAAAAUGGCAGGAUUUUGUGUUGUAUUGACUUUAUCAGCUUUCUGCACUUUUUUCUUGUCUUUUUUAAUGCACUUUUCGUUUAACAAGUCAACAUCAAUUUCUUUUGCUGUAAAAGGGUCAUUGGAAGGUGGCUUUCUUUUCGGAGAAAGUGUUUAUAGCCUUUGGACUUCUGCAAUCGGAGAGAUUGAGGUCUGCAGCGUAGAUCCUUCGGGGUUAGAUACAUUUGUGCUAAGUUAUAGCCUUUCAUAGACAACUUGUUGACUAUGAUCAGUCAUGUAGCUUACUCGCUUAUGUCUAUUUUACCUACGCUUAGGAUGUUGACGAUCAGCUGAGCGCG